CCCUUCCUCAUGGGAUGUCCUCACCAGUGAGCCACAGUGGCUUCCGCUGACUCUAGUGACAUCUUCUGUGUCAUCGGUGGUCAGAAGAGUUGUCUUUCUGGCACUGUGAACAGCUGAGCUUGGCACUGCUACCCACGGCCUAGAUGGCCGCAGUCCGUGCAGAGUGGUAAAGGAAACCCCAUUCUAGGCGCCUUUGCCUGUUACAAGCUGUCAGAUGUAGCAUAUAGUUCAUGUUGAAGAAAAGAUCCUUGUCUUUAGAAAUACAGAGGCCAUUGCGUAGACAUUGGACACCUUUAGGGGAGGUAGGGCAAAUCUAGACUGAGCUACACCUGUGACGGGAGCAGGCUAAGGGGCUUUUGCUGACCUCUGAAGUGUUGCUGUUCCCCACAUCUGCCACGUUUUGUUUCAUAAUCAAGUCUAGUCUGAGUGACUGCUCCUAAAAUUUCCUUCACCAAGGAUGCAGUGACCCCUCCCAGAUUUCUAUCUUCAGACCAGACUCUUCCUCAAAGCCCCAGACUCAUUUAUACCCACAAGCUCAAGAAAACACAUAUUUUCUUGCCCAGUGUCCAACAUUAAAAAAUAAAAUAAAAUAAAACAUUGAUUUUGUUUCUCCAUUUCACAUUUUUUUAAAGAUUCAUUUUUAUUUUUUAAUGAUGCGUAUGUGUGUAGGGAUGUGAAGGUAUGAAUGUAGGUACCCAUGGAGUCCAGACAAGGACAUAGAUUCUCUGGUAGCUACAGUUGCAGGAGGUUGUGAGCCACUUGAUGUGGGCACUGGGAGCUAAAGCUGGGUCCUCUGACAGAGCAGUAUGUGUCCCUAACCACUGUGCUAUCUAUCCAGCCCCCCAUUUCACAUUCUCAGAAACUAUGUUCAGCUGUAUUCAGGCCAGAAACCCAGAUAUCCUGAAUAAUAAUCUGUUACCAGUUCUUACUACUUUUAUGCCCUGAGACCUUCCAAGCUGUCUGCCUUUCUGCAUCCACACUGCUGCUCCCGAGUAUCUGCACUGCCACACAGGUGUAUGUGGGCCUCCUGCCCUGCCACGCAGGUGUAUGUGAGCCUCCUGCCCUGCCACGCAGGUGUAUGUGAGCCUCCUGCCCUGCCACGCAGGUGUAUGUGGGCCUCCUGCCCUGCCACGCAGGUGUAUGUGAGUCUCCUGCCCUGCCACGCAGGUGUAUGUGAGCCUCCUGCCCUGCCACGCAGGUGUAUGUGAGUCUCCUGCCCUGCCACGCAGGUGUAUGUGAGCCUCCUGCCCUGCCACGCAGGUGUAUGUGGGCCUCCUGUCCUGCCACGCAGGUGUAUGUGGGCCUCCUGCCCUGCCACGCAGGUGUAUGUGGGCCUCCUGCCCUGCCACGCAGGUGUAUGUGAGCCUCCUGCCCUGCCACGCAGGUGUAUGUGAGCCUCCUGCCCUGCCACGCAGGUGUAUGUGGGCCUCCUGCCCUGCCACGCAGGUGUAUGUGGGCCUCCUGCCCUGCCACGCAGGUGUAUGUGGGCCUCCUGCCCUGCCACGCAGGUGUAUGUGGGCCUCCUGCCCUGCCACGCAGGUGUAUGUGGGCCUCCUGCCCUGCCACGCAGGUGUAUGUGGGCCUCCUGCCCUGCCACGCAGGUGUAUGUGGGCCUCCUGCCCUGCCAUGCAGGUGUAUGUGGGCCUCCUGCCCUGCCACGCAGGUGUAUGUGGGCCUCCUGCCCUGCUCAUUCUUGCGUCAAUUGUUUCCAUUUGCUUCCUACUAUGAGAUUCCUUUGGAUGUAAGUCAGGCCCUCUCACUCUGCCACUACCCAGCUCGGUCAUAGCCUUCACCCCAAGGCCUUUGAGCUCCGCUGCUUCUGGAAAGCUAUCAUAACGUCCCUCCUCGGGUGUAGAGGAGAUGUAUUUGCUCAUGAGCAUGCUUUCAUUAUUUCAUGCUUUCUGACUUAGCACAUCUGUAAUCCUACACCUUCCAAGAUAUUAGCAACAUAACAACUAGGACCUCAUGUUUGUUUAAUUAUUAUAUUAAUUAUUAUAAUUAUCUGAUAUGCAGUAGGUAUGGAAUAAAUAACCAAUGGAGCAAUAAAUGUUUUCCAAAUACAAGUUAAAAUGUUUAAAGUAAAAUUUGGUGGUGCCAAAUUAUGUAGUACAUAUGAUUGAUUGUGUGGUUAGCUUGUGAGAAGUGACCUCUUGCGCUGGAGAGAUGGCUAAGCAAGGUAAGAACGUAUACUUCUUUUCUAGAAAAUCAGAGUUUGGUUUCCAGUGACCAUAUGAAUGACUCAAAACCACCUCCAGCACCAGGGAUAUCUGUGCCCUCUGGUCACCUGCCCAGACUGGCACAGAGAUGCACAUGAAUAUAUAAUUUAAAUUUUUCAAAAUCUUUUAAAAAAAUAACUUCUUGAGAUCAUGAAGUUAAGUACUUGUAUUUGACACCUAACACAAUGAAUGUCCAGUUGAGUCUGCUUUUGCUGUCUACCUUUUAGAUGACUUGCUCUUUGAGCAACAAGUAUGCUUCUGUUUGUAAUGGAAAAGUAGGCUGUAAAAACCAGUUGUACGU